rnacentral:lncRNA from 1 species
CUCAAAGGCCUCCCUGCCUCUGUAUUGUAGGAAGAUCACAGGGUCUUCUGUCAAAACUCACAUAGGGCUGGGGCUGUAGCUCAGUGGUAGAGCGCUUGCCUAGCAUGUGUGAGGCACUGUGUUCGAUCCUCAGCACCACAUAAAAAUAAAUAAAUAAAUAAAACAAAGAUAUCAUGUCCAUCUACAACUAAAAAAAAAGAAAUAAAUAAACUAUGGCCCAAGUCUGUGCCCAUGUGGCUACGUGUACGGUGUUAGGAGAACAUGGCAGAGCCGUAUCCUACACACAGCCAUGUGAUCUUGCAAGUAGGAAUUUGGUUAAAUAAAGAAUAAAACAUACUUUAAAAUGUAAUGGCUAUUUGGAUAGCCUGGGUAUAACUUACAGGAAAGAUUUGAUUUGUUUUUCCCAGAAAGUUAUAUUUCAUUAGUUGCCAGAAAGUGACAUCUGGUUUUAAACUAACUGGGAGGUCAUAUUAGAUAUAAAAGGAAAUGAGUCUAGUUAGGCCUAAGCUGCACAUCCAUAAGGGCAGAGAGACGUUGUCAAGGAUCACAAAGUUUUGAAAGCACGUAGUUGGUAAAGAGAAAGUGCUCUUGGGCAUCCCUCUGGGGUACCACUUGAUAAAACUGCUUGGGAGAACAUUUGGCAAUAUCUAAUUUCUACAGCACAUAACUAGUUAUCCUACCUCUAGGAGGGUAUGCUGCCAAUAUACACACAAAGCUGUUCAGUACAGCUUUGCUUAAAAAAGAGCACAUGACUUGAAAUUAUCUAUAUACAGAGCCAUAAAAAGAAGGAAGCUCUUUAUGUUUUCAUGUAAAAAAAAAACUUACAAAAUAUAUUAAGUAAAAUAAGUUAGACGAGAACCACUUGUUUAAAAAAAAAAAGCAAAAGAAAUAAAAUGGCCUAUAUAAAAAAAAAUCUGUGAAAGAAUAUUUAAGAAACAAAUAUAUUUGGUUGCCUCUUAGGAGAACUGGAUGUUUCAGGGAUAAAGAUGAAAAGGAUAGCUAGGAAAAAGUUUGAAUUUUUGAUCUAUGUUUGUGAAUAAUAGGUAAAAGUGGAUAAAGCUAUCUUUGUAAAGAAUUUUUUACAUAAUGCUAAGCAUUCAUCAUAGGCCAUCGGAGAGAAGAUCAGGCCUUAUUCACACCUCCGACUGAUUGCCUGUGCACUUGCACAGGUGACAACUUUCUUGCCUCUGAGCUCAUUUUAGAAUUCUGAUGAUGGGAUUUAAAGUCGAAUAUCCUCCUCAAACAAGAAGGGGAUUUGUAAGGAGCUGGGAUCCAAAGAUAAUGGUUUUGCUAAUUGCUCUUUUGAACCCAUGUUGUUCAUCAGGCAUCCAAGUUAAAGUUGAGUAGAAAGAAGGAGAGAAACAGAGGGAGAAAGUCAUUACUUUUUCACAUCAUCUCUCUGGUACUUCAGAAUCCAGUGUCUUUCACUUCAAAAAUUAGCCUGGAAGAAAAAUAAAAUCCACAGUGCACUUAAGUCACCCGUGUCCAGAAAACUAUUCUUAGACUUUCAUGAUAAAAAUAGAAUAGGGAAAAAGUACCAAAGACUAUUUCCUCUCCCUCACAUCUGAUAUACCUGCAGCCUGAGAAAGCGUUGUUAGAUGCCACCCACACUUUACACUGUUAGCAAUCCCCUGAAUGAACUUUCUUCUAAAACUUAACUAUGACAGACUUGAAAAAUUCCAAGUUUGCCUUAAUGCCUGUUUUUGCUGGUCAGUAUCAUGGCAUACCUUUACAUUUAUGAGGUACUUUGAAGUUUUAAACAUUCUCAUAAAGAAGAGACUUCCUUACUUCUCCCAGCUACCCUACAAGGCUACUGAUAUUCAUCUCUCUGGUUUGGCCUUGAAGCAAUUAUUUAGACAAGUUAACUUAUAUCCAAGGCUUAUCAAGCAGAGCUUGAUAAGAGCUGAAUUUGAAGGCAGACAGGCCAGGGGAAGGGAAGACAGAAUGGAAAUCAGGGAUGGGAAUGAGAAGGCACAUCUGGAUGAACCCAUGUUUGGAUAUUGGAAUCAGGGUCUUGGGCAUAGAAAUACAAGUGGGAUUGGAGCCCAGGAGACACACAGUGCAACUGGAUGUCCCAACAAGGGGGUGACUGAUGUCCCCAUUCUCCAGGGAGGGAAGGGCACAGUGUUCUGCAUUGUUAGGGGAGGAAGGCAGCAGGGUUUAUCUCAAGCACAUCUUGUGGUUCCUUCCACCUAAGGUCUGAACUGAUGCACACUUUUGUUGGAGGAUGCCUGCUCUCCCAGAUUAACUACUGUAACAGCAAACCCCUGUGGUUCCUAUCCCUCAGACACAUGUGAGUCAUUAAUGUACCCCAAAUGCUGGAAGUUAGGGGAAGCAGUGGAUACUUUGUACCACUAAGUGUUUCUCUACUGCCCUCAUAUAUAAGGUUUGUUUUGUGGCUUGUUACGAAUGAAAACUGGCCUGAAUGGAAAAGCUCUGAUGUGACAAGUGGCAUCCCUGCCACCACUUCUGCUCCACCCUCUGCCAGCAACAGUCCCCAAGAAAUCAGCUAGGAGGAGGAGGAGCCCUGCUUUAUGAACUCCUGGUCAUCCUGUUUUGAAGAAAUGUAAGAAGAAAGGACUAACACCCGCCAGAUUUCAGCAUAGGAGAAGGAGGUCUUAUUCUCCUGUACAUGCUUACUUCAUUGAACUGUUGUUUCUUAGAGCAGAAGAAAAUGACUUCAUCCAACUACCUUUCUUAUGUAAGAAUCACAUAUUCUUUCAUUCAUUUAUCCAUUGAUUCAUUUGCUUUGAUUCGUCAUUUGUUAAUUCAUUCAACAUCUAAUGAAUAGCUACUCAGGGUCAAGUAAUGGGGAGAAGCUAAGAUAAAAUGUAUAGACCCUCAGUCUGAUAAGGAUUUAAGCAGUUAUUAUUCUUCUGUCUCAUCAUUUGCUUGCUUUAAUAUUAGUCUUCAAUAGGAAAAUAUAUUAAUAAAUAAUUUCCCUUAUUUA